AUUGAGCGCUGGCGGCAGGCCUAACACAUGCAAGUCGAACGGUAACAGAAAGCAGCUUGCUGCUUUGCUGACGAGUGGCGGACGGGUGAGUAAUGUCUGGGAAACUGCCUGAUGGAGGGGGAUAACUACUGGAAACGGUAGCUAAUACCGCAUAACGUCGCAAGACCAAAGAGGGGGACCUUCGGGCCUCUUGCCAUCGGAUGUGCCCAGAUGGGAUUAGCUAGUAGGUGGGGUAACGGCUCACCUAGGCGACGAUCCCUAGCUGGUCUGAGAGGAUGACCAGCCACACUGGAACUGAGACACGGUCCAGACUCCUACGGGAGGCAGCAGUGGGGAAUAUUGCACAAUGGGCGCAAGCCUGAUGCAGCCAUGCCGCGUGUAUGAAGAAGGCCUUCGGGUUGUAAAGUACUUUCAGCGGGGAGGAAGGGAGUAAAGUUAAUACCUUUGCUCAUUGACGUUACCCGCAGAAGAAGCACCGGCUAACUCCGU
rnacentral:rRNA from 1 species